rnacentral:rRNA from 1 species
AUACGGAGGAUGCAAGCGUUAUCCGGAUUUAUUGGGUUUAAAGGGUGCGUAGGCGGGACUGUAAGUCAGGGGUGAAAUACUGCAGCUUAACUGUAGCAUUGCCUUUGAAACUGCCGUUCUUGAGUACAGUUGAGGUAGGCGGAAUGUGGUGUGUAGCGGUGAAAUGCAUAGAUAUACCACAGAACGCCGAUUGCGAAGGCAGCUUACUAAGCUGUUACUGACGCUGAGGCACGAAAGCGUGGGGAUCAAACAGGAUUAGAUACCCUGGUAGUCCACGCUGUAAACGAUGAUUACUGGUUGUUAGCGAUAUAUAGCUAGUGACUGAGCGAAAGCAUUAAGUAAUCCACCUGGGGAGUACGGCGGCAACGAUGAAACUCAAAUGAAUUGACGGGG